rnacentral:rRNA from 1 species
UGUCGUCAGCUCGUGUCGUGAGAUGUUGGGUUAAGGUACCCGCCAACGAGCGCAACCCCUCGCAUUCAGUUGCCAUCGGGUAAUGGCCGGGCACUCUGGAAGGACUGCCAUCGACAAGAUGGAGGGAAGGUGGGGAUGACGUCAAGUCAUCCAUGGCCCUUAGUGUCCAGGGCGACACACGUGCUACAAUGGCCGGCACAACGGGAAGCGAGGCAGUGAUGCCCGAAGCGGAUCCCUUAAAGCCGGUCUCAGUUCGGAUUGAAGUCUGCAACUCGACUUCAUGAAGCUGGAAUCGCUAGUAAUCGCAGAUCAGCCAAGCUGCGGUGAAUACGUUCCCGGGCCUU